rnacentral:rRNA from 1 species
CCUACGGGAGGCAGCAGUGGGGAAUCUUGCGCAAUGGGCGAAAGCCUGACGCAGCCAUGCCGCGUGAAUGAUGAAGGUCUUAGGAUUGUAAAAUUCUUUCACCGAGGACGAUAAUGACGGUACUCGGAGAAGAAGCCCCGGCUAACUUCGUGCCAGCAGCCGCGGUAAUACGAAGGGGGCUAGCGUUGCUCGGAAUUACUGGGCGUAAAGGGAGCGUAGGCGGAUAGUUUAGUCAGAGGUGAAAGCCCAGGGCUCAACCUUGGAAUUGCCUUUGAUACUGGCUAUCUUGAGUACGGAAGAGGUAUGUGGAACUCCGAGUGUAGAGGUGAAAUUCGUAGAUAUUCGGAAGAACACCAGUGGCGAAGGCGACAUACUGGUCCGUUACUGACGCUGAGGCUCGAAAGCGUGGGGAGCAAACAGGAUUAGAUACCCUGGUAGUCCACGCUGUAAACCGAUGAGUGCUAGUUGUCGGCAUGCAUGCAUGUCGGUGACGCAGCUACGCAUAAGACACNCCGCCGUCGGGUAGGUACGGUCGCGAGAGUUAAACGUUAAACGUAAGUUAGUACGGCGUGAGACGUACGCCGACGGACGACGACGAGGGAGUUAGG